CGCGGCCUAUCAGCUUGUUGGCGGGGUAACGGCCCACCAAGGCAACGACGGGUAGCUGGUUUGAGAGAACGAUCAGCCACACUGGAACUGAGACACGGUCCAGACUUCUACGGAAGGCAGCAGUAGGGAAUCUUGCGCAAUGGGGGAAACCCUGACGCAGCGACGCCGCGUGCGGGAUGACGGCCCUAGUGGUUGUAAACCGCUUUCAGCAGGGACGAAAAUGACGGUACCUGCAGAAGAAGUCCCGGCUAACUACGUGCCAGCAGCCGCGGUAAUACGUAGGGGACAAGCGUUGUCCGGAUUCAUUGGGCGUAAAGAGCUCGUAGGCGGUUCAGUAAGUUGGGUGUGAAAGCUCCGGGCUCAACCCGGAGAGGCCACUCAAUACUGCUGUGACUAGAGUCCAGUAGAGGAGCGUGGAACUCCUGGUGUAGCGGUGAAAUGCGCAGAUAUCAGGAAGAACACCGGCAGCGAAGGCGGCGCUCUGGGCUGGUACUGACGCUGAGGAGCGAAAGCAUGGGUAGCAAACAGGAUUAGAUACCCUGGUAGUCCAUGCCGUAAACGUUGGGCACUAGGUGUGGGAGGGAAUCAACCCCUUCCGUGCCGUAGCUAACGCAUUAAGUGCCCCGCCUGGGGAGUACGG
rnacentral:rRNA from 1 species